rnacentral:lncRNA from 1 species
CAAAGGCAGAGGAGACGCAGAUAUCCCAUCGUGUCCUCACUUUCCAUGAUGUAGCCGCAUGUUCUGCGUGGGGCCAGGAGAUGCUAACCCAGCUGGAGGACAAGGAGCCUUCUUGCCCAGUGUUCCAAAGCUCUGCCAUUCCUGAUAACAAGGAGCCACCUAUCAAGUAGGUGACCAGACUGUAGACUGUGGGAAAGUCAUCUGAAGAAUCUCAUCCUCUGCAGACAGGCAGCCUGUGGCGUGGGACGGCUCCGGGUGGUAAGCGCGACAGAUUCCCCACAUUCAGGGGGCCUGGUAGUUUCCAAAUUUUAACUGUAAAAUGUUCCCAUGGGGAAGUGCCUAAGAGGCGGGGACUCGGUGACAGGGUCUGUCCUAGAUCAGGGCAUACCUCGGUAUGUUUCAGGCAGGUCAACCUAACACUGCCCACACUUGGUCCCAGGGAGCAAGGCUGUUGGUCCAUACACAUCCUUGCAUAUCCUCAGAAGUCAGGAGGCGACCACAGAGCCAACAGGUAACUAGACAGCCAGUUCCUGGAGGUUGUGAUGGGAAGUUGGGGUACGCAGCUCAUAGCCAAGGCUCCUAGCAGGGUUAAGCAAGGAGUGGAAGGAAGUCCG